rnacentral:rRNA from 1 species
GACGAACGCUGGCGGCGUGCUUAACACAUGCAAGUCGAACGAGUGGCGAACGGGUGAGUAACACGUGGGUGACCUGCCCUGCACUUCGGGAUAAGCCUGGGAAACUGGGUCUAAUACCGGAUAGUGUGGGAUGGGCCCGCGGCCUAUCAGCUUGUUGGUGGGGUAAUGGCUACCAAGGCGCGACGGGUAGCCGGCCUGCGCGGGUGGACGGCCACAUUGGGACGGAGACACGGCCCAGAGUCCUACGGGAGGCAGCAGUGGGGAAUAUGGGACAAUGGGCGCAAGCCUGAGCCAGCCAUGCCGCGUGUCUGAAGAAGGCCUGCGGGUUGUAAAGGACUUUUGUUAGGGAGACGGUACCUAAAGAAGAAGCACCGGCUAACUACGUGCCAGCAGCCGCGGUAAUUC